rnacentral:rRNA from 1 species
CUACGGGCUGCUCCAGUGAGGAAUAUUGCACAAUGGGGGGAACCCUGAUGCAGCAACGCCGCGUGGAGGAUGACGCAUUUCGGUGUGUAAACUCCUUUUAUAUGUCAAGAAAAUGACGGUAGCAUAUGAAUAAGCACCGGCUAACUCCGUGCCAGCAGCCGCGGUAAUACGGAGGGUGCAAGCGUUACUCGGAAUCACUGGGCGUAAAGGACGCGUAGGCGGGUUGGAAAGUCAGGUGUGAAAUCCUACAGCUUAACUGUAGAACUGCACUUGAAACUUCUAAUCUAGAGUAUGGGAGGGGGAGAUGGAAUUAGUGGUGUGGGGGUAAAAUCCGUAGAUAUCACUAGGAAUACCUAAAGCGAAGGCGAUCUCCUGGAACAUUACUGACGCUAAGGCGUGAAAGCGUGGGGAGCAAACAGGAUUAGAUACCCCAGUAGUC